GUCCGGCCGGGAACUCAAAGGAGACUGCCAGUGAUAAACUGGAGGAAGGUGGGGAUGACGUCAAGUCAUCAUGGCCCUUACGACCAGGGCUACACACGUGCUACAAUGGCGCAUACAAAGAGAAGCGACCUCGCGAGAGCAAGCGGACCUCAUAAAGUGCGUCGUAGUCCGGAUUGGAGUCUGCAACUCGACUCCAUGAAGUCGGAAUCGCUAGUAAUCGUGGAUCAGAAUGCCACGGUGAAUACGUUCCCGGGCCUUGUACACACCGCCCGUCACACCAUGGGAGUGGGUUGCAAAAGAAGUAGGUAGCUUAACCUUCGGGAGGGCGCUUACCACUUUGUGAUUCAUGACUGGGGUGAAGUCGUAACAAGGUAACCGUAGGGGAACCUGCGGUUGGA
rnacentral:rRNA from 3 species